rnacentral:rRNA from 1 species
AGCAGCCGCGGUAAUUCCAGCUCCAAUAGCGUAUAUUAAAGUUGUUGCAGUUAAAAAGCUCGUAGUUGAAUUUCGGGAUCAAUACGUCGGUCGUGCCUCUGGUAUGUACUGGUGUUAUUGAUUUCUCCCUUCUGAUGAAUCAUGAUGUCAUUAAUUUGGUGUUGUGUGGAGUCAGGACUGUUACUUUGAAAAAUUAGAGUGUUUAAAGCAGGCUCACGCCUGAAUACAUUAGCAUGGAAUAAUGAAAUAGGAUGUUCGAUCCUAUUUUGUUGGUUUCUAGGAUCAACGUAAUGAUUAAUAGGGAUAGUUGGGGGCAUUAGUAUUCAAUUGUCAGAGGUGAAAUUCUUGGAUUUAUUGAAGACUAACUACUGCGAAAGCAUUUGCCAAGGAUGUUUUCAUUAAUCAAGAACGAAAGUUAGGGGAUCGAAGACGAUCAGAUACCGUCGUAGUCUUAACCAUAAACUAUGCCGACUAGGGAUCGGAUGAUGUUAAUUUUU